CUGACUGUGAUUAAACCUAGGAGCAGCUCCAUUGACCUACUACUUGACUCAGAAGAAAGAGAAUGGGAAGUGACAGUUUGGGCUACCAUGUCCAGCUCCCAGCUAGCAAAGGCCCUGAUACCAUAUUAAUAUGCUUGCUGGGAGGAAUUAAGCUCACGCUAGUCCCUUCUGCCUGUUCCAGAGCCCCCUCCCUAUGAUGCUCAGAAAUCUUCCUCUCACAUGCAGCUGAAAUUUAUUCAUGGCCUGCUUAGACUCAUUUGUUCCUGUGCCAACAUUGUCCUUUGGCUUAAAUUGCUCUCCUCCCUCCCUGGUGUUUAUCCUCCCGAUGUAUUUAUAGAUAGCAAUCAGAUCCCCUCUCAGCUUUCAUUUUGCUAGGCUAAACAAGCCAAACUUUUCCCAGUCUCCUCUCAUAAGACAGCCACUCUAUUCCCCUGUUAUCCUCACACCCUCUAGAAAGUCAUGUACAACAUUCAUGGCCAUGCAAGUGGUAAAACUAAGCAGGACUUUUAACUCCACAAGUCCAGUGACUCACACUGCAGACACCUACACACAUUCCUCCGAUGUUUUGGAAAUGCCUCUGGUGGCCACUUGUCCACAGAAAAUGAGAGCACCUCUCCACCUCUAUGCUCUUGAACAAAAGUAAGGUCUGAUCCGCCUAUAGGGAAAAGAGGUUGCUCCAGCUCACCACCAAGGCCAACCAAAGGAGCAAGGACAUCAGCUGCAAGGAGUACAAGCACUAGGGACUGUGAGUGAGGGAAAGGUGGUCAGCAUCAGGCCCUGGAGCUUGUUCAGAGAAGGGCGGCUAAGCUAGUGAGGGGUCUGGAGCACAAGUCUGAUGAGGAGUGGCUGAGGAAGCUGGGAUUGUUCAGUCUGGAGAAGAAGAGGCUCAGGGGUGACCUUAUCACUCUCUACAACUACCUGAAAGGAGGUUGUGGAGAGGUGGGGUUGGCUUCUUCUCCCAUGUAACUGAGGGAAUGGCCUCAAGUUGCGCCAGGGGACCUGCUCCAUAGUCCUCCCAGGCACGGAUGUGAGGCUCACCAGCCUGUAGUUUCCUAGGUCUUCC
rnacentral:lncRNA from 1 species